CGACCGGUACUAUUCCUGAGGUGGUUUCCAUUCACACCAACGAUGUGCACGGUGAUGCAGCAGCACACAGUGCAGCCGUUAUGCCAUCGGACGGUUCCUCAUCAUCGCACGCUGUCAGCUCUGGCACGGUGGUCGCUGUCAUCAUGAUCCUGGUGCUCGUAGUUGCCGUUGGCGUGUGGCUGCUGUAUGCAUACCGCAACCCCCAGACGCCUGCUGGACAGCUCCUCAUCAAGUAUCGUCCGAGCCAGUGGAGGCUCCAUGGUGAAGCCCGCUACACGGCCGCCACCUCGGUCCAUAUCUGAGGAAGCUGUCCAACGGCCAACGACUUUGAUAACAAUGUCGUGACCUCAGGAGCCGGGGUAAUGACAUUGAAAGGAGGAGCGAGUUCUUCCCUUGGAGUCGUCGGCUCUGCCGGCUUCAAGCACUGACCCAUCUGUUCAGCUCUCCCCCUCCUUCCCCUCUUCUAUUCACUUCCCUCUGUUGUGCUUGGACUCGUCUGUGCAGCAGGCAAACAUGUCGUGGCAUCUUUUACUUUGGGCAGUCAAUGGAGAAAGACGCAACCAGUGGGCUGCCUUCUCUGUUGAUCAUUUGUUUUGAGAAUAGUUGUAGUUUCUGUGGGCAGCAAAAGCAGGCAUGACAAACGAAAGGUAUGGGUUCACACCCCUCCCUUUCAGCACUGUCAAGUAUAGUAACACCUUGUUAAUACGUACCUGCUUAAUAAGUAAUUCUGGUUUAAAUAUAGUGGUGACGGAUCCCCCGCCCUGUCACCAUUGAACCUAAUGUAUUGGCUGACUGCUUAAACCGUAGUCGCUUAACACAUUCGAAAUGGGUAGUGCGUAGUAUUUACUUAAUUUUUCAGCGCAUACAAGCAUGGACUCUGAAAUGGCACACGCGCCGACCAUAAAUAGCAAAAUUGCGACGCACGGGCCUUUUCCAGACUACAGUUGCCACCGAUAGUGACAUCAAAACACGGUAGCCAGGACGUGUUUCCUGCUCCCAAUGCUUCGCGCACUUCCACCUCAUCGUCAUGGAUGACGAUGUGCAUACCUGAUCCACGUUCUCUGCCAACUACGUAUUAAGGAGGUUUUCCUGUACUUUGACGAGGCAUACAGCAGAAAUGCGCUGCCAACAAGUGUUAGUUAAUUCAGUGAGAAAUUAUGCCGAAUGGCAUGUCGCAAGAUGCAUGUCUCGUUUAUAGUGAUCAAUAAUGAAUAUGGCUCAGCGCUUGAGGUGUUCAGUGUUGAGCUAGUGGCCUAAAGCGUCCAGUGCGAACCUGUUGCUCAUUGUAAAAUGCUUGCCAUUUUCACUUGACUUCAGCUGCCAUAUACUUUAGGGGCACUCUGCUUUAACCAUGGCCCUCAAUCGACUGGAGUGUUGUGCGGAACAGAGCUUGCUUGCUCUUACUCAAGGGGAAUCUCUUGCAAACUAACUGCAGUAAGUUGUCUACCCUGUUACAACGAGGGCCCACCACAAGGUUAACUGGACACUGACCCAUUACUUCAACAGGUUUUUGACAACAUGCUGGCAACAAUGGGCUUAGUUUUAGGGCAGUGUUGUAGCGUCUGUCACGCAAUUCCAGCUGUAUGGGUGUUAGGGCACCGCAAGAGCUGGCACCUUUCAUUAGUGGAAUUCAAUUCUCGGAUAUUCCUAAUCGGGCAGUACUUCCAAGUCCCUGAGUGGAUAGCAUGUGUAAAUGCCCACACAACUUCUCACUGCUUGCUUCUCCUACGUGCUGCUAUGUCUUGGCUGCUAUGUCAUGAUAAUGUCAUGAGUGGUGGUCUCGCACAGGGAAGAGAGCAAGCAAUUCGUAGUAUUGCUGGUGCAGGACGCAAUAGAUAAAAAUUUAUGCACCUAUCACCGCACAUCAUUUAACUUCUGUAGUUGGUGGCAGAAAGCUCCUAGGAGUAAAACCCUAUACAGUAGACAUGCAUGGCUCAAACUGAGCAGUCGUGCAUGUAGCUGGCUGCAGCAGCUAUUUAUUGCAUUCUUGUCGCAGCUAGCAUGCUGCGUGUUGCACCUCUUCAUCCACACUGGGAAGUACUCAGCGCUGUAACUAAGGGAAGGGAGAUGGUGGCCUCCACACUUUUAAACAGUCCUCAAAUUGACACCUCAACUUGGCUCCGGAAACUGGAGGAAAAUGCAGUCCUUCAUCUGUAGUGGUCCGCACUCCAAAAACUUUCAACAUUUUUUUAACUUGGCAGCAUCAGCUUCUGUGUGAGAGUGCUGGAGAGUGGAGAUCCUGAGGAAUUUUCCUUGCAACACCUCCCUGUAGAAAUUGCAGGGGAGCGCUGGUGCAAGGCCUCUUUCGGUCAAGAGGCAAUGUUGUUUGACCUUAAAUACUUGCGACCACUACAAGGUCGGAAGGCUUGAUUUGCUUGGAGGCCACUGCUGCACGUACAUUCCAUUGUGCUCUUGACACAAAAGCUUUGUUUGGGUCUAUGUGGUGGGUGUAGCUACACCAGUGUUGAGGUGCAGUGCCUAAUCAAACUAACUCAAGGGAUAGCUUCACCAAAUGGUCCUGAAUUUUUUUGGCUGCAUGGAGGUGUCUCCCAUGUACCACACAAGUCGUGUGACAUUGACUGAGGGACUUGGUGAGGAUUUUUAUAGGUUCACAGAGGUCAACAUGGAUGCUGCCACUGUUUGUGCCUUCAGCGAUUGCUCACAGCUUUUCACCCAUAAGCUUCUACACUUUGCUGUGGCCGUUGUCACAGCUGCAUGCUUUUGUCUUCGGUGGUCAGCACUUGUCUUUCCAGAAUGUUCUUGAUACAUCAUCCGUGCAGCAAUUCUCAGUAGCGUGCAGUGGUAGCGAUGCAGGGAGAUGAAAAGUUGCCACUUGACUGUGAAUCAAAUUCUGUUAACAGCUCUUGCUGACAGACAGCGAAUUGACGAGAAUCAAAAGUACAAUUACCUCAUGUGCUUUGUAUAAUGUGUUCAGCUUGAAAAAAGAAAGUGUCACAAUUCUGUGCUAGCUAAAUGAUUCAACAUUGCACUAGCACUGGCUUCAUUGGCACUUUGCACCUUCUGUCAUGACUGGCUCAUCAGCCAUCGCUGUGGUGGGAGCCAACACAGCACACUUAGCUUGGCUGUACCAUCGUGUCUGUACUCAAUGUGGCGUUUUCUCUGAUGAUGAAAAUUAAGCUACCUCACAGAGGUUACUGCUGUGGACAUUGCAACAUCCUGCCCCGUGAAGAAAGCUGCUUCAGUAAAACUGCAAGGUUCUGGUCUCUCCCCUACAG